UCCCAGAGUUAAUGAUCCCAGGUCAGUUUAUAUUAUACAGGAAGUAUUAUUAAAGAGAUGGAGUAGUCCCAGAGUUAAUGAUCCCAGGUCAGUUUAUAUUAUACAGGAAGUAUUAUUAAAGAGAUGUAGUAGUCCCAGAGUUAAUGAUCCCAGGUCAGUUUAUAUUAUACAGGAAGUAUUAUUAAAGAGAUGGAGUAGUCCCAGAGUUAAUGAUCCCAGGUCAGUUUAUAUUAUACAGGAAGUAUUAUUAAAGAGAUGUAGUAGUCCCAGAGUUAAUGAUCCCAGGUCA